GCCUCGAUAGCUCAGUUGGGACAGCGUUAGACUGAAGAUCUAAUGAUUUACUCACGGUAGAGGCA
rfam:Angiostrongylus cantonensis strain Taiwan genome assembly, scaffold: ACAC_contig0011886